UCUCGCAGUUCUCGCCUGGUUUCCCAUUGAAGCUAAGUAGGUUUGAGCCUGGCCAGUACCUUGAUAGGAGACCUCCUGGGGAAGACUAAGGUUGCUGCUGGAA
rnacentral:rRNA from 1 species